UUGCGAGAAAAUUCCGUAACGCGAGUUAUAAUGAUAUUUGUGUGUAUACGCAUAUACGCAAUAGUACUCGUAGCGCUAGGAAUUGUACUUUCUUAAUAUUAUAACACGCGAACGCGGUCUUAAACUAGGUUUGGAUUAAUUCUCCCAGAAGCAGAAUUUAAUUCUUAAUCUCCCUGUAUAGAAAUAUAGUGCGAGAAAAUUCCGUAACGCGAGUUAUAAUGAUAUUUGUGUGUAUACGCAUAUACGCAAUAGUACUCGUUGCGCUAGGAAUUGUACUUUCUUAAUAUUAUAACACGCGAACGCGGUCUUAAACUAGGUUUGGAUUAAUUCUCCCAGAAGCAGAAUUUAAUUCUUAAUCUCCCUGUAUAGAAAUAUAGUGCGAGAAAAUUCCGUAACGCGAGUUAUAAUGAUAUUUGUGUGUAUACGCAUAUACGCAAUAGUACUCGUAGCGCUAGGAAUUGUACUUUCUUAAUAUUAUAACACGCGAACGCGGUCUUAAACUAGGUUGGGAUUAAUUCUCCCAGAAGCAGAAUUUAAUUCUUAAUCUCCCUGUAUAGAAAUAUAGUGCGAGAAAAUUCCGUAACGCGAGUUAUAAUGAUAUUUGUGUGUAUACGCAUAUACGCAAUAGUACUCGUUGCGCUAGGAAUUGUACUUUCUUAAUAUUAUAACACGCGAACGCGGUCUUAAACUAGGUUUGGAUUAAUUCUCCCAGAAGCAGAAUUUAAUUCUUAAUCUCCCUGUAUAGAAAUAUAGUCGAGAAAAUUCCGUAACGCGAGUUAUAAUGAUAUUUGUGUGUAUACGCAUAUACGCAAUAGUACUCGUAGCGCUAGGAAUUGUACUUUCUUAAUAUUAUAACACGCGAACGCGGUCUUAAACUAGGUUGGGAUUGAUUCUCCCAAAAGCAGAAUUUAAUUCUUAAUCUCCCUGUAUAGAAAUAUAGUGCGAGAAAAUUCCGUAACGCGAGUUAUAAUGAUAUUUGUGUGUAUACGCAUAUACGCAAUAGUACUCGUUGCGCUAGGAAUUGUACUUUCUUAAUAUUAUAACACGCGAACGCGGUCUUAAACUAGGUUUGGAUUAAUUCUCCCAGAAGCAGAAUUUAAUUCUUAAUCUCCCUGUAUAGGAAUAUAGUGCGAGAAAAUUCCGUAACGCGAUAUUCCGGGAAAAUUGUGUGUUGAAAUAGUACAGGUUCAUUAUCCCUCAAAACACACACGUGUUGUUUUUUUGUUUCAGUACUUUUUAUGAUUACCUGAUGAACUGGUAAGUUUGCAAACGUUAUUACAUUAUACUUUCAUAUUUAUCUAAAAUUGCAUGUAACGUGAAUACCGUGACAACACAAAAUUGAUGCGUGCCGCCGGAUGCGACUUGGAUCUACCCGCAGAGUAUGGUCAUGUCAAUCAUCGGUUUAAUAACGUGAAAUUUUCCUUGCUCGCAUUUUUAAUUUUAUUUCAUAAAUCUGCCGGCUCUUUAACGUAAUUUCGUAGUUUGGCAAUUAAUUAUUGAAAAUAAUAUAUAUGUAAAAUAUUUGUAAUAUACCUAUUUGUAAAAUGUAGCAAUUUUCUUCUUGUAUCACCCUAUGUUCUACUUUACCUUGCGUUCUAGUGUAAAACUAACUAAAUUUGUCGUUUCUGGGUCGUUUUCUACUUAAACUUUGUAUUUUAUUUUUAAAUUUAGGAAUUUCCUGUUUGUAUCACCCUGUAUGUUUGUUUUUCUUGAUUUCCUAUUAUAAGUUUUCUAAAUUUGUAUUCCCAACUAUUUUCUUUCUUGUACUAUUGAUUUUCUUUUUGUGAUGUAGUAAUUUCCUUUUUGUAGCACCCUGUAUAUUUGUUUUUCUUGUUGUCCGUGAAAAUUUAGCUUUAGUUGUGGUUUGAGGUUUUUCUUCUUUGCACCUUGAAUUUUCUAUUUGUAACACCCUGUAUAUUUGUUCCCAUUUUCACUCACGUAGAAAAUGGUCUAUUUCCUAAUUUCAUUAUCCCGGCUAUGCAGGUCGUAAGUUCUGUUUCAAUAUGGCGACAUGUAUUCUGUUGACUUGUAAAAUAUAAACUUGUAUUCUAUUGUUAAUAAAGAAAUAGUAAAAUAUA